GAUGCCCUGGCAGUCAGAGGCGAUGAAGGACGUGCUAAUCUGCGAUAAGCGUCGGUAAGGUGAUAUGAACCGUUAUAACCGGCGAUUUCCGAAUGGGGAAACCCAGUGUGAUUCGUCACACUAUCAUUAACUGAAUCCAUAGGUUAAUGAGGCGAACCGGGGGAACUGAAACAUCUAAGUACCCCGAGGAAAAGAAAUCAACCGAGAUUCCCCCAGUAGCGGCGAGCGAACGGGGAGCAGCCCAGAGCCUGAAUCAGUGUGUGUGUUAGUGGAAGCGUCUGGAAAGGCGCGCGAUACAGGGUGACAGCCCCGUACACAAAAAUGCACAUACUGUGAGCUCGAUGAGUAGGGCGGGACACGUGGUAUCCUGUCUGAAUAUGGGGGGACCAUCCUCCAAGGCUAAAUACUCCUGACUGACCGAUAGUGAACCAGUACCGUGAGGGAAAGGCGAAAAGAACCCCGGCGAGGGGAGUGAAAAAGAACCUGAAACCGUGUACGUACAAGCAGUGGGAGCCUCUUUAUGGGGUGACUGCGUACCUUUUGUAUAAUGGGUCAGCGACUUAUAUUCUGUAGCAAGGUUAACCGAAUAGGGGAGCCGAAGGGAAACCGAGUCUUAACUGGGCGUUAAGUUGCAGGGUAUAGACCCGAAACCCGGUGAUCUAGCCAUGGGCAGGUUGAAGGUUGGGUAACACUAACUGGAGGACCGAACCGACUAAUGUUGAAAAAUUAGCGGAUGACUUGUGGCUGGGGGUGAAAGGCCAAUCAAACCGGGAGAUAGCUGGUUCUCCCCGAAAGCUAUUUAGGUAGCGCCUCGUGAAUUCAUCUCCGGGGGUAGAGCACUGUUUCGGCAAGGGGGUCAUCCCGACUUACCAACCCGAUGCAAACUGCGAAUACCGGAGAAUGUUAUCACGGGAGACACACGGCGGGUGCUAACGUCCGUCGUGAAGAGGGAAACAACCCAGACCGCCAGCUAAGGUCCCAAAGUCAUGGUUAAGUGGGAAACGAUGUGGGAAGGCCCAGACAGCCAGGAUGUUGGCUUAGAAGCAGCCAUCAUUUAAAGAAAGCGUAAUAGCUCACUGGUCGAGUCGGCCUGCGCGGAAGAUGUAACGGGGCUAAACCAUGCACCGAAGCUGCGGCAGCGACACUAUGUGUUGUUGGGUAGGGGAGCGUUCUGUAAGCCUGUGAAGGUGUGCUGUGAGGUAUGCUGGAGGUAUCAGAAGUGCGAAUGCUGACAUAAGUAACGAUAAAGCGGGUGAAAAGCCCGCUCGCCGGAAGACCAAGGGUUCCUGUCCAACGUUAAUCGGGGCAGGGUGAGUCGACCCCUAAGGCGAGGCCGAAAGGCGUAGUCGAUGGGAAACAGGUUAAUAUUCCUGUACUUGGUGUUACUGCGAAGGGGGGACGGAGAAGGCUAUGUUGGCCGGGCGACGGUUGUCCCGGUUUAAGCGUGUAGGCUGGUUUUCCAGGCAAAUCCGGAAAAUCAAGGCUGAGGCGUGAUGACGAGGCACUACGGUGCUGAAGCAACAAAUGCCCUGCUUCCAGGAAAAGCCUCUAAGCAUCAGGUAACAUCAAAUCGUACCCCAAACCGACACAGGUGGUCAGGUAGAGAAUACCAAGGCGCUUGAGAGAACUCGGGUGAAGGAACUAGGCAAAAUGGUGCCGUAACUUCGGGAGAAGGCACGCUGAUAUGUAGGUGAAGUCCCUUGCGGAUGGAGCUGAAAUCAGUCGAAGAUACCAGCUGGCUGCAACUGUUUAUUAAAAACACAGCACUGUGCAAACACGAAAGUGGACGUAUACGGUGUGACGCCUGCCCGGUGCCGGAAGGUUAAUUGAUGGGGUUAGCGGUAACGCGAAGCUCUUGAUCGAAGCCCCGGUAAACGGCGGCCGUAACUAUAACGGUCCUAAGGUAGCGAAAUUCCUUGUCGGGUAAGUUCCGACCUGCACGAAUGGCGUAAUGAUGGCCAGGCUGUCUCCACCCGAGACUCAGUGAAAUUGAACUCGCUGUGAAGAUGCAGUGUACCCGCGGCAAGACGGAAAGACCCCGUGAACCUUUACUAUAGCUUGACACUGAACAUUGAGCCUUGAUGUGUAGGAUAGGUGGGAGGCUUUGAAGUGUGGACGCCAGUCUGCAUGGAGCCGACCUUGAAAUACCACCCUUUAAUGUUUGAUGUUCUAACGUUGGCCCCUGAUCGGGGUUGCGGACAGUGUCUGGUGGGUAGUUUGACUGGGGCGGUCUCCUCCUAAAGAGUAACGGAGGAGCACGAAGGUUGGCUAAUCCUGGUCGGACAUCAGGAGGUUAGUGCAAUGGCAUAAGCCAGCUUGACUGCGAGCGUGACGGCGCGAGCAGGUGCGAAAGCAGGUCAUAGUGAUCCGGUGGUUCUGAAUGGAAGGGCCAUCGCUCAACGGAUAAAAGGUACUCCGGGGAUAACAGGCUGAUACCGCCCAAGAGUUCAUAUCGACGGCGGUGUUUGGCACCUCGAUGUCGGCUCAUCACAUCCUGGGGCUGAAGUAGGUCCCAAGGGUAUGGCUGUUCGCCAUUUAAAGUGGUACGCGAGCUGGGUUUAGAACGUCGUGAGACAGUUCGGUCCCUAUCUGCCGUGGGCGCUGGAGAACUGAGGGGGGCUGCUCCUAGUACGAGAGGACCGGAGUGGACGCAUCACUGGUGUUCGGGUUGUCAUGCCAAUGGCACUGCCCGGUAGCUAAAUGCGGAAGAGAUAAGUGCUGAAAGCAUCUAAGCACGAAACUUGCCCCGAGAUGAGUUCUCCCUGACUCCUUGAGAGUCCUGAAGGAACGUUGAAGACGACGACGUUGAUAGGCCGGGUGUGUAAGCGCAGCGAUGCGUUGAGCUAACCGGUACUAAUGAACCGUGAGGCUUAACCU
rnacentral:rRNA from 1 species